rnacentral:rRNA from 1 species
AUUGAACGCUGGCGGCAGGCCUAACACAUGCAAGUCGAGCGGAUGAAGGGAGCUUGCUCCUGGAUUCAGCGGCGGACGGGUGAGUAAUGCCUAGGAAUCUGCCUGGUAGUGGGGGAUAACGUCCGGAAACGGGCGCUAAUACCGCAUCCGUCCUGAGGGAGAAAGUGGGGGAUCUUCGGACCUCACGCUAUCAGAUGCGCCUAGGUCGGAUUAGCUAGUUGGUGGGGUAAAGGUCUACCAAGGCGACGAUCCGUAACUGGUCUGAGAGGAUGAUCAGUCACACUGGAACUGAGACACGGUCCAGACUCCUACGGGAGGCAGCAGUGGGGAAUAUUGGACAAUGGGCGAAAGCCUGAUCCAGCCAUGCCGCGUGUGUGAAGAAGGUCUUCGGAUUGUAAAGAACUUUAAGUUGGGAGGAAGGGCAGUAAGUUAAUACCUUGCUGUUUUGACGUUACCAACAGAAUAAGCACCGGCUAACUUCGUG